rnacentral:rRNA from 1 species
AAGCUCGUAGUUGAAUUUCGGGAUUAGUACGUCGGUCGUGCCUUAGGUACGUACUGGUGUUACUGGUUCCUACCUUCUGACGAACCAUCAUGUCAUUAAUUUGGUGUGGUGGGGAAUCAGGACUGUUACUUUGAAAAAAUUAGAGUGUUUAAAGCAGGCUCGCGCUUGAAUACAUUAGCAUGGAAUAAUGAAAUAGGACGUUGAUCCUAUUUUGUUGGUUUCUAGGAUUGACGUAAUGAUUAAUAGGGUAGUUGGG